UACGUAGGGCGCAAGCGUUGUCCGGAAUUAUUGGGCGUAAAGAGCUCGUAGGUGGCGUGUCGCGUCUGCCGUGAAAGCCCAUGGCUUAACUGUGGGUCUGCGGUGGAUACGGGCAGGCUGGAGGCUGGUAGGGGCAAGCGGAAUUCCUGGUGUAGCGGUGAAAUGCGCAGAUAUCGGGAGGAACACCUAUGGCGAAGGCAGCUCGCUGGGACGUUACUGACGCUGAGACGCGAAAGCGUGGGGAGCAAACAGG
rnacentral:rRNA from 1 species